AACAGGAUUAGAUACCCUGGUAGUCCACGCCCUAAACGAUGUCUACUAGUUGUCGGGUCUUAAUUGACUUGGUAACGCAGCUAACGCGUGAAGUAGACCGCCUGGGGAGUACGGUCGCAAGAUUAAAACUCAAAGGAAUUGACGGGGACCCGCACAAGCGGUGGAUGAUGUGGAUUAAUUCGAUGCAACGCGAAAAACCUUACCUACCCUUGACAUGGCUGGAAUCCUUGAGAGAUCAGGGAGUGCUCGAAAGAGAACCAGUACACAGGUGCUGCAUGGCUGUCGUCAGCUCGUGUCGUGAGAUGUUGGGUUAAGUCCCGCAACGAGCGCAACCCUUGUCAUUAGUUGCUACGAAAGGGCACUCUAAUGAGACUGCCGGUGACAAACCGGAGGAAGGUGGGGAUGACGUCAAGUCCUCAUGGCCCUUAUGGGUAGGGCUUCACACGUCAUACAAUGGUACAUACAGAGCGCCGCCAACCCGCGAGGGGGAGCUAAUCGCAGAAAGUGUACCGUAGUCCGGAUUGUAGUCUGCAACUCGACUGCAUGAAGUUGGAAUCGCUAGUAAUCGCGGAUCAGCAUGUCGCGGUGAAUACGUUCCCGGGUCUUGUACACACCGCCCGUCACACCAUGGGAGCGGGUUUUACCAGAAGUAGGUAGCUUAACCGUAAGGAGGGCGCUUACCACGGUAGGAUUCGCGACUGGGGUGAAGUCGUAACAAGGUAACC
rnacentral:rRNA from 1 species